GCUCGUAGGUGGUUUGUCGCGUUGUUCGUGAAAUCUCACGGCUUAACUGUGAGCGUGCGGGCGAUACGGGCAGACUUGAGUACUGCAGGGGAGACUGGAAUUCCUGGUGUAGCGGUGGAAUGCGCAGAUAUCAGGAGGAACACCGGUGGCGAAGGCGGGUCUCUGGGCAGUAACUGACGCUGAGGAGCGAAAGCGUGGGGAGCGAACAGGAUUAGAUACCCUGGUAGUCCACGCCGUAAACGGUGGGUACUAGGUGUGGGUUUCCUUCCUUGGGAUCCGUGCCGUAGCUAACGCAUUAAGUACCCCGCCUGGGGAGUACGGCCGAAAGGCUAAAACUCAAAGAUAUUGACGGGGGCCCGCACAAGCGGCUGAGCAUGUGGAUUAAUUCGAUGCGACGCGAAGAACCUUACCUGGGUUUGACAUGCACAGGACGCCGGCAGAGAUGUCGGUUCCCUUGUGGCCUGUGUGCAGGUGGUGCAUGGCUGUCGUCAGCUCGUGUCGUGAGAUGUUGGGUUAAGUCCCGCAACGAGCGCAACCCUUGUCUCAUGUUGCCAGCGGGUAAUGCCGGGGACUCGUGAGAGACUGCCGGGGUCAACUCGGAGGAAGGUGGGGAUGACGUCAAGUCAUCAUGCCCCUUAUGUCCAGGGCUUCACACAUGCUACAAUGGCCGGUACAAAGGGCUGCGAUGCCGCGAGGUUAAGCGAAUCCUUUUAAAGCCGGUCUCAGUUCGGAUCGGGGUCUGCAACUCGACCCCGUGAAGUCGGAGUCGCUAGUAAUCGCAGAUCAGCAACGCUGCGGUGAUACGUUCCCGGGC
rnacentral:rRNA from 1 species